AACGAACGCUGGCGGCAGGCCUAACACAUGCAAGUCGAACGAACAUUCCGGGGGUAGUCGCCGACGAGGGAGUAGCACGAGGGAAGGUGCCUUUAGGGUCGGAAUAACUCAGGGAAACUUGUGAUAACAGCGAAUGUGCGCUAAGGGGGAAUGAUUUAUCGCAUGUAGAGCGGCCCGAGUCAGCUUAGCUAGUUGACUAAGGUAAUGGCAGAUCAGGGCGAGAAUCAGUAGCUGGUUUGAGAGGAUGAUCCGCCACACUGGGACUGAGACACGGCCCAAACUCCUACGAGAUGCAGCAAUGCGGAAUGUUGCGCAACGGCGGGAAGCCUGACGCAGCCAUGACGCGUGAAUCAUGAAAGUCUUAGGAUUGUAAUAUUCUUUUACCGGAGACCGUAAUGACGUUACCCGGAGAAGAAGCCCCGGCUAACUACGUG
rnacentral:rRNA from 1 species